UUUAUCUGUUUUCUGCAGAUAUGUGGGGC
rnacentral:piRNA from 1 species